rnacentral:lncRNA from 1 species
UUUUACAUAUAUAAUAUCACACUCAAAUUAACAGACAUGAUUUGUAUCCGUUUAAAUUCUUGCAUCUAAUCUCACUAAGAUAUUGACAGUCUCAAUCUCUAUAUGUUUCAGUUUUUUAAAUCCUGAUCUAGAUCAACUAUAUACUUUCUUGGAGAAUCUUGCUUUGAUCUCUCUCUCUCUCUCUCUCUCUCUCUAUAUAUAUAUAUAUAUAUAUAUAUGAAGAACACCAUGUUUCUGAAAGCUUUCUCACCCCUUCUUCUUCUUCUUCUCAUGAGCUUGAUUGUUGAUUCUUAUGUUCAGCUUGU